rnacentral:rRNA from 1 species
CCUACGGGAGGCAGCAGUGAGGAAUAUUGGUCAAUGGCCGGAAGGCUGAACCAGCCAAGCCGCGUGAAGGACGAAGGUGCCAAGCAUUGUAAACUUCUUUUGUCAGGGAGCAAUUGGCGCUACGUGUAGCGUUAUCGAGAGUACCUGAAGAAAAAGCAUCGGCUAACUCCGUGCCAGCAGCCGCGGUAAUACGGAGGAUGCGAGCGUUAUCCGGAUUUAUUGGGUUUAAAGGGUGCGUAGGCGGAAUGCCAAGUCAGCGGUAAAAUCGCGGGGCUCAACCUCGCUCCGCCGUUGAAACUGGCGUUCUUGAGUGGGCGAGAAGUAUGCGGAAUGCGUGGUGUAGCGGUGAAAUGCAUAGAUAUCACGCAGAACUCCGAUUGCGAAGGCAGCAUACCGGCGCCCAACUGACGCUGAAGCACGAAAGCGUGGGUAUCGAACAGGAUUAGAUACCCUUGUAGUC